rnacentral:piRNA from 1 species
UGCUGCGACAUUUUCUUUCAC